rnacentral:rRNA from 1 species
GACGAACGCUGGCGGCGUGCCUAAUACAUGCAAGUCGAGCGAAUGGAUUAAGAGCUUGCUCUUAUGAAGUUAGCGGCGGACGGGUGAGUAACACGUGGGUAACCUGCCCAUAAGACUGGGAUAACUCCGGGAAACCGGGGCUAAUACCGGAUAACAUUUUGAACCGCAUAGUUCGAAAUUGAAAGGCGGCUUCGGCUGUCACUUAUGGAUGGACCCGCGUCGCAUUAGCUAGUUGGUGAGGUAACGGCUCACCAAGGCAACGAUGCGUAGCCGACCUGCGAGGGUGGUCGGCCACACUGGGACUGAGACACGGCCCAGACUCCUACGGGAGGCAGCAGUAGGGAAUCUUCCGCAAUGGACGAAAGUCUGACGGAGCAACGCCGCGUGAGUGAUGAAGGCUUUCGGGUCGUAAAACUCUGUUGUUAGGGAAGAACAAGUGCUAGUUGAAUAAGCUGGCACCUUGACGGUACCUAACCAGAAAGCCACGGCUAACUACGUGCCAGCAGCCGCGGUAA